UAGGUGAUGGUUAAGUAUUUAUUAUAUUUAUUUUCGAAAUAAAAGAUUUAUUUAU
rnacentral:tRNA from 1 species